GAGCGCCGGGCCUCCGAGACGGCCAGCGGUGUGGACCUGGUGGGCCGGGCCCGAUCACGGACAGUGUCGGUUGAAAUAAAUGUUUGGAAGAGUGGUGUCAGCAAAAUGAAGACUUGAAAGCCCUUUUUGGAAGAUGUGAUUGGCUGCCAGGCCAUGAAAAAGACCUGGAUGGGAAAUUAGGACGCUCAAGAAGGAGAAAGGCUCAGCACUCCAACAGGGGCCUGAUCUCUAUGAAUGGGACACCAGAGGAAGCUUAGACAUCUGAGCAAAUCAGGCCACUCAGAUCCAUGGUCAGCUCCUGCCCCGACUUGGCCUUUGUCCUGCUGAGGUGGCCCACAGACCUUGGGGACUUGCCCCGGCUGCGGAUGACUUGCAGGUGCUGGUCAAUGAUGCUGUUCUGCUGGUCGCUACUGGAUGCUGCAGA